UCCCGGGUGGCCCAGUGGCUGAGACUCUGUGCUCCCAACACAGGGGUUCUGGGUUCAAUCCCUGGCCAGGGAA
rnacentral:tRNA from 1 species